GACUCAAUAUGAAUAAAAAUUAAUCCGAUUUAUUUUAUUCAAUUACAAAACUAUGCUACUAGAAAGGUACAUAUAUCGACCAAUUUAAUUUUUAGGACAUACAUCUAACAAUCUCUCAUUUGCACUAAAGUCAAUUGACCAUUAACCUAAGCAUCAUCUUCUCAAGAUGAGCUUCAGUCUUCUGAUGGCCCAACGACUU
rnacentral:lncRNA from 1 species